ACUGCUAUCAGACUCCGAUUAAGCCAUGCAAGUCACCUCACUCACUUGGGUGGGGGGCGAAAGGCUGAGUAACACGUAGUUAACCUGCCCUCAGGACGUGGAUAACCUUGGGAAACUGAGGCUAACCCGCGAUAGGUGUCUUAUGCUGGAAUGCUUAGACAUCUAAAUCUCUGGUGAAUUGGAGCCAGUAGGCCUGAGGAUGGGACUGCGCGGGAUUAUGGUAGUUGGUGAGGUAAUGGCUCACCAAGCCGAUAAUCCCUAGGGGCCAUGGGAGUGGUGGCCCCCAGAAGGGCACUGAGACAAGGGCCCUAGCCCUACGGGGUGCAGCAGGCGCGAAACCUCUACAAUGCGCGAAAGCGUGAUAGGGGGAGUCUGAGUGGCGGCAGCUCAGCUGUCGUCUUUUGCCGAGUGUAAACAGCUCGGAGAAUAAGGGUGUGGGCAAACACACCCUUAUAGGCAGACAGUCUAUGGGGAGUGGCCCAAGACUGGUGGCAGCCGCCGCGGUAACACCAGCGCCUCAAGUGGUACCCACGAAUACUGGGUCUAAAGCGCCCGUAGCCGGAUAAGCAAGUCCAUUGUGAAAUGGUGGAGCUCAACUCCAUCGCGUGCAGUGGAUACUGCUUGUCUUGAGAACGGGGGAGGACCGGGGUACAUCCAGGGUAGGGGUAAAAUCCGUUGAUCCUGGAUGGACCACCAGUGGCGAAGGCGCCGGUCCAAAACGUGUCUGACGGUGAGGGGCGAAGGCUGGGGGAGCGAACGGGAUUAGAUACCCCGGUAGUCCCAGCUGUAAAUUAUGCCGACUGUGGUGUUGCAUAUGAGUAAUCAUAUGCAGUGCUGUAGCGUAGGUCUUAAGUCGGCCACCUGGGGAGUACGGUCGCAAGACUUAAACUUAAAGGAAUUGGCGGGGGAGCACCACAAGCCGUGGAUGCUACGGUUUAAUUGGAUACAACGCCGUGAAUCUCACCAGGGGAGACGGCAGAAUGAAGGCCAGUCUGAAGGGCUUGCCAGACAAGCCGAGAGGUAUUGCAUGGCCAUCGUCAGCUCGUGGUGUGAACUGUCCGGUUAAGUCCGGCAACGAGCGAGACCCAUGUCCUUAGUUGCUAAUUCAUCCUCCGGGAUGGAUGCACUUUAAGGAGACUGCCCGCGUUAAGUGGGAGGAAGGAGUGGGCGACGGUAGGUCAGUAUGGUCCGAAACUCCUUGGGCUACACGCGGCAUACAGUGGCGGGAACAAUGGGCUGCAACUCCGAGAGGAGAAGCUAAUCCCCUAAAUCCCGUCGUGGUCCGGAUUGAGGGUUGAAACCCACCCUCAUGAAGAUGGAAUGGCUAGUAAUCGUGGGUCAUCAUCCCACGGUGAAUGUGUCCCUGCUCCUUGCACACACCGCCCGUCAAGUCACCCAAAUGUUUUUUCGGUGAGGCCUCGGUUUUUGCCGAGUUCGAACCGGGGGAAUGUGAGGGGGGCU
rnacentral:rRNA from 1 species